GGUCUAAUAGUGUAGUGGUUAUCACAAUGGAUUCUGAUGCCUCGGCCUUAUGGCAAUUGAAAUUUGAAUUCCAUUAACCCAGGUUCGAGUCCUGGUUAGACCU